UUUUUGAAGUACAAACAAGAAGCGUCUCAAGCGCCCGAUCUUGGGCCGCCUAUCGAAAGGGAAUCGGGUUAAUAUUCCCGAACCGGGACGCGGAUAUUGCCGUUCACGGCAAAUGCGGUAACGCAAACGAACCCGAAGACGCUUGCGGGGGCCCUGGGAAGAGUUCUCUUUUCUUUUUAACGAGCUUCCACCCUGAAAUCAGCUUGCCUGGAGAUAGGGUUUAAUGCUCGGUAAAGCUGAGAUUCCUUGCACGACUGUUUGCAAUAAAAUGAAACCGAUAUUAUGUAAGCUGAA
rnacentral:ncRNA from 1 species